UGCGUAGAUUAUCUCAAACAUCCAUUUUUUGAGAGCUCUAACAACUGCCAGAGCAUCCGUGUUCCUCAUAGUCAAUGACUAUGUCAUCUAUAAUUUGGUUUAUUUGAUUCAUAGUGAUUUCAUUUUAUGUUUUUCUAAAAUAUAAUAUAGCAAAAUAGUUAGAGAAGUAAAGCUAAUCAAGGAUAUUCAAGCUCAACAAAGAGGUUGGACAGUAAAAGUGGUGAUUAUUGAGAAAGCAAUGCCACGAGUUUCUAAAUCAAGUCCAAACAAAUAUCAAAGGUUAAUCUUAGCUGAUGAAGAAGGUAAUAAGAUCCAGGCCACAAUAUAUGGUGGAGACAUCCACAUCUUCUGAGACACACUCAUAAUUGGGAAAAAUUAUUAUAUUUCUAAUGCUUGGGUUAAAGAAAUUGGUGCACAAUAUCAGAUUGUUCAAAAUAAUUUGCAAUGGACUAUAAAUGGUCGAACCAUUGUGGAAGAAGUGACUAGAGAUUCAGAGAUAAUUGUGCCUGCUGUUUACAGCUUUGUCCCUUUCUCACGACUACACACUUAUAUUGACUCUCUAUCCCACGUCGGUAUGUUUGUCUAUAUAGUCAAUUUGUUCAGCUAUAUUUUUAUAACUUUUCAUUUGUGAAUCUUUCUUUUUUUUAGGAUUCUGUUAAAGAUAUUGAAAAAAUUGCCACAUUAUCCAGUAGUCAUAAGCUUCUAAUUCAAGUUAAAGCAUCUAAACAUGAAUAUCGUGAUAUUACAAGAUGGAAAUACACAAUCCUUUCUGUUUGUGAUACUAUUUCAAAAGAAAUCAACACAUUAACACAAACAGAUACUUCAAAUGAUGCUGAAGUUAGUCAAGUUUUAGAAAUUGUUGAAGAGCAAAGUGGAAAAUCAUUAGACAUAACUGAAUUGAGAGAUAUAUCUGGAAGUGCUGACAAUGCUAAGAUAGAGCAAAUGAGCAAUGAAGAUAAAGUCCUAGCUGAUUUGGUUUCAAAGCCUACUGCAAGAAACAAUGCAACAAAGAAACUAAAGCUGAUGAUUUCCAAAAGUGCAGAUGAGGCAGAUCCAAUAGCGCUGAAUCUUGAAAGUUCUCAUUUACAAUUUGGUGAAGGGAGUAGGAAGCAGUUUGCCGAGCUUAAAGACAAUGCUUAAUUUGUUAUCAUGGGAACCAUUUUUUUGUUAAUGUGGACAUGAUAGAUUACUAUCAGUUCAUAAGUAGAUUAUUAUCAGUCUUUUGUAAAUUUAUAGCAUAUUUAGACUAUACUAUGACAGUUACACUAAUAUUAUUAUUUUGUACAUUGCAAGAUGUAAUAGAAAUUGAUUUAGGUAUAA